rnacentral:rRNA from 1 species
AACGAACGCUGGCGGCGUGCCUAACACAUGCAAGUCGAACGAGAAAGGGGCUUCGGCUCCGAGUAAAGUGGCGCACGGGUGAGUAACACGUGGGUAACCUGCCUCUAAGAUUGGGAUAACUCGUCGAAAGAUGAGCUAAUACCGAAUAAGACCACAGUUCCCGCGGGAACAGGGGUCAAAGGUAGCCUCUGCUUGCAAGCUAUCACUUCGAGAUGGGCCUGCGCACCAUUAGCUAGUUGGUAGGGUAACGGCCUACCAAGGCAAAGAUGGUUAGCUGGUCUGAGAGGAUGAUCAGCCACACUGGAACGGAGACACGGUCCAGACGCCUACGGGAGGCAGCAGUGGGGAAUAUUGCGCAAGGGGCGAAAGCUUGACGCAGCAACGCCGCGUGAGGGAUGAAGGCCUUCGGGUCGUAAAGCUCUGUCGGGAGGAACGAAUGCUCCUGAGGUUAACAGCCUCGGGAGGUGACGGUACCUGCAAAGGAAGCACCGGCUAACUCUGUG